rnacentral:rRNA from 1 species
UACGUAGGGGGCAAGCGUUAUCCGGAUUUACUGGGUGUAAAGGGAGCGCAGACGGAACUGCAAGUCUGAUGUGAAAGCCCGGGGCUCAACCGCGGGACUGCAUCGGAUACUGUGGAUCUGGAGUGCCGGAGGGGCAAGCGGAAUUCCUGGUGUAGCGGUGAAAUGCGUAGAUAUCAGGAGGAACACCGGCGGCGAAGGCGGCUUGCUGGACGGAAACUGACGUUGAGGCUCGAAAGCGUGGGGAGCAAACAGGAUUAGAUACCCCUGUA